rnacentral:rRNA from 1 species
CAGCAGCCGCGGUAAUACGUAGGCAGCAAGCGUUGUUCGGAAUUACUGGGCGUAAAGAGUGUGUAGGCGGUGCUCUAAGUUUGGUGUGAAAUCUCCCGGCUCAACUGGGAGGGUGCGCCGAAAACUGGAAUGCUCGAACAUGGGAGAGGAAAGCGGAAUUCCUGGUGUAGCGGUGAAAUGCGUAGAUAUCAGGAGGAACACCUGCGGUGUAGACGGCUUUCUGGACCAUUGUUGACGCUGAGACACGAAAGCGUGGGUAGCAAACAGGAUUAGAUACCCUGGUAGUCCACGCCCUAAACGA